rnacentral:rRNA from 2 species
CCUGACUCCUUGAGAGUCCUGAAGGAACGUUGAAGACGACGACGUUGAUAGGCCGGGUGUGUAAGCGCAGCGAUGCGUUGAGCUAACCGGUACUAAUGAACCGUGAGGCUUAACCUUACAACGCCGAAG